rnacentral:misc_RNA from 1 species
AAGAUCUCAAAGCCACACGGGAAGCUUUCAACGGCGGAUGGUUUCGAAGUGGGGACUUGGGGGUUAAACACCCUGAUGGUUAUAUAGAAUUGAAGGACCGUUCAAAGGACAUUAUCAUAUCUGGGGGGGAGAAUAUUAGCUCAAUUGAGGUUGAGUCUGUUCUUUUCGGUCAUCCAUCAGUUCUUGAAGCUGCUGUUGUGGGAAGACCAGAUGAUCACUGGGGUGAGACACCUUGCGCAUUCGUCAAACUGAAGAACGGAUGCAAUGCAAGUGCUGAUGAGAUCAUCAAGCAUUGUCGUGAUCGUUUGCCGCAUUACAUGGCUCCUAGGACAGUAAUUUUUGAUGAUUUGCCAACAACUUCAACAGGAAAGAUUCAAAAGUUUGUCCUGAGAGAGAGAGUCAAAGCAAUGGGAAGUGUUUCGAAAGCUAGCAAACUAUAAUGAAUUGUGGUGUUGAAAUGGGGCUUACUUAGUGAAACACACUUUUAUUGUUCUAGACAUAAGUUUAAUCAUCUGGCAUUAAUAAGAUUAGUUCAG